rnacentral:lncRNA from 1 species
GUGUGUUGAAUGCUUUAGGGACAAAUAUUCCAUCUGCAAUCUCUUUCAUCUGCUUGAAGCAGCUUAAUUACUCAACCUGCAAAAGUAUCACGGUAAUCGUAUAAGAGCUGGAGAACAGGACAAAAGAAAUGAGAGGCAAAACAUUAGAGCAGGCAAGGCAGUCUUAACAAAAUAUAUGAAGUCUCUAGAACAAGGUCAAACAGAUCUAAACUCUCUGAAGUAUCGAAACAUAUUGCUUAGUCUAGUUUACUCUUCCUUUCCAUCUUCAAAAUGCUUAAUGGAAGGGAUGCUGCCUCUACUGUGCAAUCCAUGCAUGGAAUCUGGUUCGUGAUGGUUGAUUGGCAAUGAUAUGAAGACUAGGGUUUGGGAGCAUAGAUGGUUGCCUAUGAAAUCAUAAGGUGGAAGGGUAUUGUUGAUAGAUGCAGCUAUGCAUCAAUGAAGGUAAAUCAGAAAAAGAAAAGGCCACCUUGUGUAGGAGUUUAUAAACACAGAUGCAGAAAUUCACAGUUCAAGCAAGGUGAGGGGUCUGAACUGAUCAUCUGCAAUUUAGCUCUUGAUGAAAUUUCAUCCCAUUAUCAAAAAAGAAUUCUUAUAGUGAUUUCCUAGGAACAGUUACGCCUUUUCUACACAAAAAUUAAAAAGAAAGACUGAAAAAAACAAAGCAACAAGUCAAGCUAUAUGAAUGACCUAGUCUAACUUGUGGCUCCUAAUGGUCUUCACAAUGCUUAAUGGAGGGAUGUUGCCUCUAUUGCGCUGGAAGUCACAACCAAGACUGGUUGAACUAUUUGCAUAUGUUGCGAUUAAUCUCAAAUCUUUCAGCUGUUCUUCAAAUCUCAGAAGACUCUUAAAUGAAUCAUCUUCCAAAUCGUUGAUGUAUAAUUCCUCAUUGUCGACUGCUAUUAUAAUUUCACCUUCCUUUGUAAAUGCCAAUGGGUUCCUGCAGUAUCCAUUCAUACGGAUGCUACAUAAUUGCGUCCAGGAUUCUUUCACUCCAUAUUGCUUCAUUUCUGCCACCGUACAAAUGAACUCAAGCAAUAACAAUAAGCACAAAGAUUCCCUCUCAAGGAAGCCAAACUAAAAGGAUGACCAACAAGAUCUUCAGGAGGUUUUGGUGUUGGGGAUUCCGGCUCCCCCAUGCGCGGACCGGGGGUGUACUGAUAUUUUUCUAUUGGAGGCUUAAGCACACUGACACAAUAUUUUACGUGGUUCGGCAAAACCGCCUACAUCCACGGGAGAGUCCAUAUUAUUAGAGAUAUAUAGAGAAAGGAUUACAACAUACAUGAAGAUGGAAGCCUUAAAACAUUGCAGCUCUCUCUUUCUCUCCACUCUCUUGCACACACUCACGUUUUCUCACUCUCUCAAC